CACGUAGGGCGCAAGCGUUGUCCGGAAUUAUUGGGCGUAAAGAGCUCGUAGGCGGUCUGUUGCGUCCGCUGUGAAAACUCGGGGCUUAACCCCGAGCCUGCAGUUGAUACGGGCAGACUAGAGGUAGGUAGGGGAGAAUGGAAUUCCCGGUGUAGCGGUGAAAUGCGCAGAUAUCGGGAGGAACACCGGUGGCGAAGGCGGUUCUCUGGGCCUUACCUGACGCUGAGGAGCGAAAGCGUGGGGAGCGAACAGG
rnacentral:rRNA from 1 species